rnacentral:ncRNA from 1 species
CCAUGAAAAUCCGGAGGACCGAGUACCGUUUACGCCUGGUCGUACUCAUAACCGCAUCAGGUCUCUAAUGUGAACAUCCUCUGGCCAACGGAAUAAUGUAGGCAAGGGAAGUUAGCAAAACGGAUCUGUAAGUUCAGGGAAAGGAUUGGCUCUAAGGACAGGGCUCAGGGGUUUGGGCCCCGAAUCAGUCGGCCGUCGGCGGAUUUCUCGAGCUGCUCACGCG